rnacentral:rRNA from 1 species
CCUACGGGUGGCAGCAGUGGGGAAUAUUGGGCAAUGGGCGCAAGCCUGACCCAGCAACGCCGCGUGAAGGAAGAAGGCUUUCGGGUUGUAAACUUCUUUUAAGAGGGAAGAGCAGAAGACGGUACCUCUUGAAUAAGCCACGGCUAACUACGUGCCAGCAGCCGCGGUAAUACGUAGGUGGCAAGCGUUGUCCGGAUUUACUGGGGGGAAAGGGCGUGUAGCCGGGCUGACAAGUCAGAUGUGAAAUCCCGUGGCUCAACCACGGAACUGCAUUUGAAACUGUCGGUCUUGAGUCUCGGAGAGGCAGGCGGAAUUCCUAGUGUAGCGGUGAAAUGCGUAGAUAUUAGGAGGAACACCAGUGGCGAAGGCGGCCUGCUGGACGACAACUGGCGGUGAGGCGCGAAAGCGUGGGGAGCAAACAGGAUUAGAUACCCCUGUAGUC